UACGGGGGGGGGCAAGCGUUGUUCGGAAUUACUGGGCGUAAAGGGCUCGUAGGCGGCCAACUAAGUCAGACGUGAAAUCCCUCGGCUUAACCGGGGAACUGCAUCUGAUACUGGAUGGCUUGAGUUCGGGAGAGGGAUGCGGAAUUCCAGGUGUAGCGGUGAAAUGCGUAGAUAUCUGGAGGAACACCGGUGGCGAAGGCGGCAUCCUGGACCGGCACUGACGCUGAGGAGCGAAAGCCAGGGGGAGCAAAGCGGG
rnacentral:rRNA from 1 species